rnacentral:rRNA from 1 species
GAUGAAUGCUGGCGGUGCGCCUAAUACAUGCAAGUCGAGCGUGAUUAUUACUAAGUUUACUUGGUUUUAUGAAAGCGGCGGACGAGCGAGUAACACGUAAGUAGUUGCCUCGUACUCAGGGAUAACCCGGCGAAAGUCGGGCUAAUACCGGAUGGUCCCGAAAGGGUAAAGAUUUAUCGGUACGAGAGACGCUUGCGGCCUAUCAGCUAGUUGGUGAGGUAAAAGCUUACCAAGGCUAUGACGGGUAACUGGUCUGAGAGGAUGAUCAGUCGCGAUGGAACUGAGACACGGUCCAUACUCCUACGGGAGGCAGCAGUAAGGAAUAUUCCGCAAUGGGCGAAAGCCUGACGGAGCGACACCGCGUGGAGGAUGACGGCCCUAGGGUUGUAAACUCCUUUUCUGAAGGAAGAAGAUCUGACGGUACUUCAGGAAUAAGCACCGGCUAAUUACG